UGUUCGUGUCCCCUAACUACAGUGUCGUUGAACGGCAGACCAGGAGUACAGGUCCAACGGUUUGCAGUCCAGGCCCGAGAAAUCAACAGUUACCAUUCCGUGGGAACCUUCGUCAAUCAGCCCACUGCUGCUCAAACUAUCGGAUGUGGUCACCAGAACGACACCAUCAUCAGUCUCCCUGGUAACGUCACUGCGACAACAAACCUGAGCCUGACGUGGGCAGCUCCCAACCACACAGGCAUCGGGGACGUAGAGUUUAUAGCCAACGUCAGACAGGUUGGAGAUGCAAGCUGGGCUAGACUGAAGUCAAGACAAGUCAGACAAAUAGGUAAA